rnacentral:rRNA from 1 species
UGCUCCACCGAAAGAAAAAGAGUGGCGAACGGGUGAGUAACACGUGGGUAACCUGCCCAUCAGAAGGGGAUAACACUUGGAAACAGGUGCUAAUACCGUAUAACACUAUUUUCCGCAUGGAAGAAAGUUGAAAGGCGCUUUUGCGUCACUGAUGGAUGGACCCGCGGUGCAUUAGCUAGUUGGUGAGGUAACGGCUCACCAAGGCAACGAUGCAUAGCCGACCUGAGAGGGUGAUCGGCCACACUGGGACUGAGACACGGCCCAGACUCCUACGGGAGGCAGCAGUAGGGAAUCUUCGGCAAUGGACGAAAGUCUGACCGAGCAACGCCGCGUGAGUGAAGAAGGUUUUCGGAUCGUAAAACUCUGUUGUUAGAGAAGAACAAGGAUGAGAGUAAAAUGUUCAUCCCUUGACGGUAUCUAACCAGAAAGCCACGGCUAACUACGUGCCAGCAGCCGCGGUAAUACGUAGGUGGCAAGCGUUGUCCGGAUUUAUUGGGCGUAAAGCGAGCGCAGGCGGUUUCUUAAGUCUGAUGUGAAAGCCCCCGGCUCAACCGGGGAGGGUCAUUGGAAACUGGGAG